GACGAACGCUGGCGGCGUGCUUAACACAUGCAAGUCGAACGGAAAGGCCCUGCUUUUGUGGGGUGCUCGAGUGGCGAACGGGUGAGUAACACGUGAGUAACCUGCCCUUGACUUUGGGAUAACUUCAGGAAACUGGGGCUAAUACCGGAUAGGAGCUCCUGCUGCAUGGUGGGGGUUGGAAAGUUUCGGCGGUUGGGGAUGGACUCGCGGCUUAUCAGCUUGUUGGUGGGGUAGUGGCUUACCAAGGCUUUGACGGGUAGCCGGCCUGAGAGGGUGACCGGCAACAUUGGGACUGAGAUACGGCCCAGACCCCUAAGGGAGGCAGGAGGGGGAAAUAUUGCACAAGGGGGGGAAGCCUGAUGCAGAAACCCCGCGUGCGGGAUGACGGCCUUGGGGUGGAAAACCGCUUUCGCCUGUGACGAAGGGGGGGGGAGGGUAAGGGGUAAAGAAGCACCGGCUAAAUACGU
rnacentral:rRNA from 1 species